CUUGCUCCCUGAAGUCAGCGGCGGACGGGUGAGUAACACGUGGGCAACCUGCCUGUAAGACUGGGAUAACUCCGGGAAACCGGGGCUAAUACCGGAUAAUUCUUUCCCUCACAUGAGGGAAAGCUGAAAGAUGGUUUCGGCUAUCACUUACAGAUGGGCCCGCGGCGCAUUAGCUAGUUGGUGAGGUAACGGCUCACCAAGGCAACGAUGCGUAGCCGACCUGAGAGGGUGAUCGGCCACACUGGGACUGAGACACGGCCCAGACUCCUACGGGAGGCAGCAGUAGGGAAUCUUCCGCAAUGGACGAAAGUCUGACGGAGCAACGCCGCGUGAGUGAUGAAGGUUUUCGGAUCGUAAAACUCUGUUGUUAGGGAAGAACAAGUACCGGAGUAACUGCCGGUACCUUGACGGUACCUAACCAGAAAGCCACGGCUAACUACGUGCCAGCAGCCGCGGUAAUACGUAGGUGGCAAGCGUUGUCCGGAAUUAUUGGGCGUAAAGCGCGCGCAGGCGGUUCCUUAAGUCUGAUGUGAAAGCCCCCGGCUCAACCGGGGAGGGUCAUUGGAAACUGGGGAACUUGAGUGCAGAAGAGAAGAGUGGAAUUCCACGUGUAGCGGUGAAAUGCGUAGAGAUGUGGAGGAACACCAGUGGCGAAGGCGACUCUUUGGUCUGUAACUGACGCUGAGGCGCGAAAGCGUGGGGAGCAAACAGGAUUAGAUACCCUGGUAGUCCACGCCGUAAACGAUGAGU
rnacentral:rRNA from 2 species